UGGCGGCGUGCCUACACAUGCAAGUCGAACGAGAAAGCGGGGGCAACUCCGCGAGUAAAGUGGCGACCGGGUGAGUAACACGUGAGUAACCUGCCCUCGAGCGGGGGAUAACUCCGGGAAACCGGGGCUAAUACCGCAUAACAUCUUCGAUACGAAAGUAUUGAGGAUCAAAGAAGCAAUUCACUUGAGGAGGGGGUCGCGGCCGAUUAACUAGUUGGCGGGGUAACGGCCCACCAAGGCUGAGAUCGGUAGCCGGCCUGAGAGGGCGCACGGCCACACUGGAACUGAAACACGGUCCAGACUCCUACGGGAGGCAGCAGUGGGGAAUUUUGCGCAAUGGGGGGAACCCUGACGCAGCAACGCCGCGUGGAGGAUGAAGUCCCUUGGGACGUAAACUCCUUUCGACCGGGAAGAUAAUGACGGUACCGGAAGAAGAAGCACCGGCUAACUCUGUGCCAGCAGCCGCGGUAAUACAGA
rnacentral:rRNA from 1 species